GAUCUGUUCCCACCCUCUGGAACACAGGUUCCUUAAGCACAGAAGCCGUGUCGAAUGCUCGUAGGUGUGCCCGAGAGCUUCCUAGACAAAUGUGCUGACUGGAGUAUUGACAAGCUGGCAGGAGGACGUGACUGGGUACAAAUGCCAGAACACACACCCUAUAUGCAGUCUUCUUCACUUUCCUCUCUCCUUGUGAAACAUUCUGGGUUCUUUACCGAAGGACCUCAGAGUCUACAUCAUUAUCUUGGAAGCUGGUCAGUGGCUGGAGGAAGAAUCUGGACAAGUUUCCAAAUGCCGUUAACUGGAUCUUGUAUCUACUGCUAGCCACCAUCUUCGCCACUGUGUGAUUCUCAGGAGCAUUUCCAGGGGGUGAUAUCAGCUGGGGGAAGAGCCUCUGUUCUACAGGACAGCUUCAGGUGGUGAAUUCCAGCCCCAGGGGUGCUCCGGUCAACACUGGGUACUUGAGGAGAGGUUGUCUGUGAUGAGUUCGCUUUAUUAAUGACGAAUAUAACACAGAUGGCCUGUUUUCAAUACCACCUGCCACUCCU
rnacentral:lncRNA from 1 species